UAGGGAAUCUUCCACAAUGGACGCAAGUCUGAUGGAGCAACGCCGCGUGAGUGAAGAAGGUUUUCGGAUCGUAAAGCUCUGUUUUUGGUGAAGAAGGAUAGAUGCAGUAACUGGUCUUUAUUUUACGGUAAUCAACCAGAAAGUCACGGCUAACUACGUGCCAGCAGCCGCGGUAAUACGUAGGUGGCAAGCGUUUUCCGGAUUUAUUGGGCGUAAAGCGAGCGCCGGCGGAAUGAUAAGUCUGAUGUGAAAGCCCACGGCUCAACCGUGGAACUGCAUCGGAAACUGUCAUUCUCGAGUGAAGAAGAGGAGAGUGGAAUUACAUGUGUAGCGGUGGAAUGCGUAGAUAUAUGGAAGAUCACCAGUAGCGAAGGCGGCUCUAUGGUCUGCAACUGACGCUGAGGCUAGAAAGCAUGGGUAGAGAACAGG
rnacentral:rRNA from 1 species